UACCACUGCUGCUGAGUAGCUGUGGGCCC
rnacentral:piRNA from 1 species